GCGUGGCGAGUGACCGGCUCCCGCGCCCCAGCUCUCAGCACUUGUAGGCAUCCUUCCUCUCACGUCUCUUCCUCAGAGUCUCACCACUGAGCACCAUCUCCUCAAAAGCUGCAACUUGGUUUGUGUGAACAGUGCCGUGACUUUGCCCUCUGGCUGGAGCCCCUUCAAGUCCUGGGAAAACUUGGAGAAGAUAGGUGUAACCAUUUCCUCCACCAGGAAAGGACACACAGGCACUUGAUCCAGCUGACAUCUUGGUGUUAACCUCGUGAGAUGCCCAAAACCUCCAUCUCAGUCUUUGCUGAAUUCAUGACCCACAGAAACUACUAUAACAUUGCACUGGAGUUUGGAGAUUUGGAAGGAAAACAGUUUGCAGUGUCCACCUCUUAGAUGAAGCCAAAAAGCCUUAUAGGAGAUCUGGAAAGCAGAGCUCCUUGAUGUUCUUUGCUGAUGCUGUCUGUAGAAGAGGGUGGAUGCUGAGGUACUUGAGGAAGUCUAAUGUUGCUGUUGAAAGUCCUUUGGUUUUCCAGCCUCAAGUCCAAGUCUACUCUGAUACAAGGAUCUGAUUCAAAGGUUCAUAUUGUGUCAUCCUGUUAUAGACUGUUAAUGCUGGUUGUACCUUGGAAUUAAUCUAACCUGAGGGUGUUGACCUAGACUCCAUAAAUGACCUUUGGGGGAUAAAUAAACCCUUUCAAAAUGACUGCACAUUUUUUU